rnacentral:rRNA from 1 species
UGGGGAAUAUUGCACAAUGGGGGAAACCCUGAUGCAGCGACGCCGCGUGAACGAAGAAGGUAUUCGUAUCGUAAAGUUCUGUCCUAUGGGAAGAUAAUGACAGUACCAUAGAAGAAAGCUCCGGCUAAAUACGUGCCAGCAGCCGCGGUAAUACGUAUGGAGCGAGCGUUGUCCGGAAUUAUUGGGCGUAAAGGGUACGCAGGCGGUUUAAUAAGUCGAAUGUUAAAGAUCGGGGCUCAACCCCGUAAAGCCUUGGAAACUGAUAAACUUGAGUAGUGGAGAGGAAAGUGGAAUUCCUAGUGUAGUGGUGAAAUACGUAGAUAUUAGGAGGAAUACCAGUAGCGAAGGCGACUUUCUGGACACAAACUGACGCUGAGGUACGAAAGCGUGGGGAGCAAACAGG